UACGUAGGCAGCGAGCGUUGUUCGGAGUUACUGGGCGUAAAGCGUGCGUAGGCGGCGGUCCAUGUCUGGUGUGAAAUCUCCCGGCUUAACUGGGAGGGUGCGCCGGAAACGGGGCUGCUGGAGUGCGGGAGAGGUAAGCGGAAUUCCCGGUGUAGCGGUGAAAUGCGUAGAGAUCGGGAGGAAGGCCGGUGGCGAAGGCGGCGCUCUGGAACGUUUCUGACACUGAGGCUCGAAAGCGUGGGGAGCAAACAGG
rnacentral:rRNA from 1 species